rnacentral:rRNA from 1 species
GACGAACGCUGGCGGCGUGCUUAACACAUGCAAGUCGAACGGAAAGGCCCUGCUUUUGUGGGGUGCUCGAGUGGCGAACGGGUGAGUAACACGUGAGUAACCUGCCCUUGACUUUGGGAUAACUUCAGGAAACUGGGGCUAAUACCGGAUAGGAGCUCCUGCUGCAUGGUGGGGGUUGGAAAGUUUCGGCGGUUGGGGAUGGACUCGCGGCUUAUCAGCUUGUUGGUGGGGUAGUGGCUUACCAAGGCUUUGACGGGUAGCCGGCCUGAGAGGGUGACCGGCCACAUUGGGACUGAGAUACGGCCCAGACUCCUACGGGAGGCAGCAGUGGGGAAUAUUGCACAAUGGGCGGAAGCCAGAUGCAGCAACGCCGCGUGCGGGAUGACGGCCUUCGGGUUGUAUACCGCUUUCGCCUGAGACGAAGCGUGAGUGACGGUAAUGGGUAAAGAAGCACCGGCUAACUACGUG